UCCCCUUUAUUUUGCUCCCUUCACUCUUUCCGUUCCGUUCAUCCUUUCGGCCGUCACUUCCCUCAUCUUUGAGCUAAGUAAGUUCCCACAUCUCAAAAGUCAGCGAGUCUAGAAUCACUUCCACUGAUGGAAAAUAAAGGUUUCUUUUUUUUAGAAAAACAACCAAAAAAAACGCUGACUGUGCUGGAUGCCCGGGGGCAGGCCUGCAUCAAACCUGCUGAAACAUAACAUGUCUGGGAAAAGGACAAAUGUCCAGGGGCACGUGACUUAUUUUUUCUCCCGCUGUGGUUUGUGGGACCAUUCCCACCAAACAAUGUCCCAAAGUCUAAUCCUAAACCAAGCUCGACAAACCUGGGCCACCUGCUUACAAGUCACAGUGGAGCCAAAAACACCAAACACAAACUAAGUCACAUCGAAACCCCACUGACGGCUGCCGAACGUAAACAAUAAUGCAUGAGUUGGAACACACGUGCAUCCAACACCUAAAACCUAUUUUCUUUUUUCUCUCUCUUUUCUCCUUCUCUCUGAUUUUGGCCCUCGUCCUCUCAUUUCCCUGCGUCCG